UACCCCUUCGCGAGGAGGAGAGGCUCCUCCUGUCGCUUUCUUCUUCACGCACGGUGGCGUGACCACCACCGCACAUGGUUGCCUCACCCACCUACUCAUCCCCCCUUUAAAUCCCUCUGCAGAUCCCCACAAAACCCUAGCCCUUCUCCCUCCCUCGCGCCGCCACCAGAGCCCCUUCCUUCCCUCAUUUUUUCUCUUCUUCUUGCACGUCCGAGCACCACCGCACCUUCCCCUCCAUGGUAACGCCGUUACCGGCCGCCCCUCGACGAACCGAAGACACCAGGAGAUCUGCCUCGUCGAGCUCUACAUCUUGGUGCAAGGAAUCGAGUCAAUACCCCGUAAUUCGAGCGCAAGGUCGCCGUUUCUCCUCCAUGGCCGCCACACUCCGGCGUUGAUUCCGGCCGCCCUCAUCCUCCUCCGUCCAAACCAAGGACACCUCCGGCUUCCUUGUGUUCUCCCGCAUCCCCGACGCCAAGUUCCCCUUCCCGAUCCGCGUUGAAUCGCCGGAUUGAGUCGCCACUGGAUCUUCCCGCCAUGGCUGCUGCUCUCAAGCUCGUCCUCGCCUCCCACUUCUUCUUAUUCGAGUGCACCAGUAAUCCGACAAGAUCUGAUCCGCAGCCCAGUGGUUCUUACUUGUUUCUUCUGUCCAACAGAUCCCGAGUUCAAUUCCUGGUUUAGGCAAAUAACCAACAUUUUUGUUUCCCAAUUGCUAAAAAGCGCUCGGGUGCUACUUGUCCGUCCGAGCACUCGUUUCUCAUCCGUUCGAUGUGCUCGAUCAGACGCGUCGUUCCGACAGCUUCGACAUCGAUGUGCCGUCGUCCCACCUUCUCGCUCCCCAUCCACACCGUGCAAUUGUUCCCCAUUCACAUCACAGGCGUGCCGCCCCACCCUCCACCGUCUCCCACACUGGCGGCAACCCGAAACCCCGGCGACCCCGCCCAAUCCUCCUGCUCCCCCACCCCGAGAUCCGUCGGCGCAGCACCUCCCCACCCUACCUCGAGCUAGACCGGACCUCCUUCCCCGUCGCCGCUAGAGCACGAACACCACAUAGUGGAACCGCCGCCGGGAGCAUCCCACGUCCCACUAGCACCACCUGGUGAUCCCACUUCCAGGGGAAUUGGUUGGGCCUCGACUUGGGGCUGCGCUCGUCAUGGUGGGGAUGAGAUGGGCGGGGGUUGGGGACCACCGUGCCUGGGAGCGAGAGGGGCUCCGCCCCACUAGGGAAGAGGAUAAGAUGAGGGGCCGGUCUUCGUGCUUGGGGUUGUCGUGGUGGAGGAGAGGAUGAGAGAGAGCAGCAGCACCGACUGGCGCCACACCAACGAACAGGAGGGGUAGGGGGUGACACGAACCCUGGGACUCGGUGCAGAUGGAACCAGGCGGGGCAGGGUACAGAGAGGCAUGAGGCUGGCAACAGCUGGGGAAGAAGGGGAUGCGGGGUCUGCUCCUUCAAAAUAUUGCUGGUGCUUAUUUGUGAUGUUGCUAAGUUGUAUCGGGAGGCGGUGGAUCCCGGGCGGCGAAUCUAGUACCAUCUCGAGAGCAGUGAUGGAGGCCAUGACACCUAGCUUCAGCAGGUGACAACGCCCAUGAUGCCUAGAGCGAGCGCAGUGGUGGAGGAGGCCAUGGAACCAAGUUUGAGCGGGUGAUGGCACCCACGAUGCAUAGCGCGAGCGCAAGCCUGCCAUGGCCCUGGCCAACAUAAGUUGAUUAUCCAUUUUAAUUAACUUACUCACGGCUGCCUUGCUAAGUUGAUUUCUGGUUAUGUUUUACUUUGCUAAACUUUGAUGUUAAGUUGCUUUCUAGGUAGUAUUAAAAAUGUCUUAACAUUGAUGCUAAGUUGUUUUUAUGCCUGAAGAGAUCAUACAUUCUUUUGUGAUUACAGAAGUUGUAGUUUUCAGUCGAAUCUAGAUCCCCAUGGAAAUCUGGAGGAGAAAGAAGAGGUGGAGUAGUUUGCUUUGCUGAACAAGUAUCUCGAGAAAGAAGAAGAGCUGGAGUAGUUCAUCAAGCAAUCUCACGCUGCUGUGUGAUGAUUUUUCCCUUAGGUGUAACCUUCCUGCUGAUUUUUCUUUACGUGUAACCUUCUUUUCUUUAGUGAUCGGAUGUUGAAUCGAUCAAAACAGUACUGGAUGCUCGAAUGAAUAAACCAGCAUCCGGAUGCUGGGUUGGACAAACCAGCACCGGAUGCUGCCUAGUCACGUCCUUUUUGUUUUGCUUUCUGUUCUUGCUA